UCAAAACAGUUUGAUUUGCACAAACGUAAGCUCCGUGUAAAAGAGGUGCUUGCUAACUAGCUAUGUUUUG
rnacentral:tRNA from 1 species